ensembl:snoRNA
AAGACUAUACUUUCAGGGAUCAUUUCUAUAGUCUGUUACUAGAGAAGAUUCUCUGAAUGUGUAGAGCACCGGAAACCACGAGGAAGAGGUACAGUGUUCUCUCUUGAGCGUGAACUUGACCCUUGGUGUUGCAUUACUUGUAACUAUCGUUGGGCGUUGAUGAUCGUUCUUCUCUUCCUUUAUGGGAGAGUAAGAGAGAGAGAACGCAGUCUGAGUGGUU